GACGAACGCUGGCGGCGUGCUUAACACAUGCAAGUCGAACGAUGAUGCUGGAGCUUGCUCCAGUUGAUUAGUGGCGAACGGGUGAGUAACACGUGAGCAAUCUGCCCUUGACUCCGGGAUAACUGCGGGAAACUGUAGCUAAUACCGGAUACUUUCACCGGAAGGCAUCUCCUGGUGAUGAAAGAAUUUCGGUCAGGGAUGAGCUCGCGGCCUAUCAGCUUGUUGGUGAGGUAACGGCUCACCAAGGCGACGACGGGUAACCGGACUGAGAGGGUGACCGGUCACACUGGGACUGAGACACGGCCCAGACUCCGACGGAAGGCAGCAGUGGGGAAUAUUGCACAAUGGGCGGAAGCCUGAGGCAGCAACGCCGCGUGAGGGAUGAAGGCCUUCGGGUUGUAAACCUCUUUUAGCAGGGAAGAAGCGAAAGUGACGGUACCUGCAGAAAAAGCACCGGCUAACUACGUGCCAGCCGCCGCGGUAA
rnacentral:rRNA from 1 species